rnacentral:misc_RNA from 1 species
UCUGCGACCCGGCUUGAACGGAGCUCUUUUUGCGGAGCGCAGCGCAGCAAAAAAGCGGGAGUGGAAGACGGAAUUUGUC